rnacentral:lncRNA from 1 species
GGGUGGGGGUGACAGAGAAGACGCGGCCAUUGUGCGAUCCUGGGCGCCCCCCCUCCGCGUCCAGCAGAUAUUGGGACCCCGGCCCUGGAAACCAGCCCUCGAGUGGCUCUCCCUCCUCUGAGAACAAGAUAAUUUAUCUCCCACUUUGAAUCUGUGGUCCCACCCCUCCCGUCUCCCGUCUAGACUUCCGAGCGCUGGCCUUCGCCGCCCCCACCCUGCUCCCCCCUCCCUCAGCCCCCAAGUGUCACUUUGUCCUUCACAACUAAGAUGGGGACUUGUGAUUCGUCCAGCUGACGGAGACGGGGGUCGGGGGACACCCUGAGACGGCAAAGUGUCCUUCUGCCGUCACUCCUCACCCCCCAACCCGGGACGCUCCCGAGUCCGGAGACAGGGGCAGCACCCCCUCUUUGCCGCCUUCCAGGGAGAGCGGCGGGAGAAAGAAAGAGCGAGGCGAGCGGAAUUCUUGAAUGGACGGACCGAUGCUACGUCACCGUCACCGGGCCGCACCCCCGCGCCACGGGAGGCUGGGAGCCGCGAGAGAGGCAGUCGGGCGGGCGGCAGGGGCCGCCGAGCCGCCUCUCCUCCUCCCAGAAGCCGGGGCUGGGCGUCCGGAAGCAGCGGCCUCGGUCCGGUGUCACCGUCAUCGUGGGCGACCACCUUGGCUUUUAGGCUUCUCACCUGGGGCGGGUGGGUGCUUGUCACCCUCCCGCCCGCUUUCCUCCACUCCUGGGCCAGAGCCGCGUCCAGCACCACGGACAGCUCCCGGGCGCCUGGCGGUCUGGCUUCCCUCGUCUCUCGGCCCUUGUGAAGCUACACCCUGGAGACCACCCACGGCCCCGCCAAGGGCCCACCGCCCACCCCCACCUCAGGCCAGGAGACCUCUGCAGCGCAGGCCCCGCUGGCCCCGGUCCUGCCUCCUCCUGUGGCCUUUGGCCCUCCUGUUACGUCCUCGCUCAUGCGUCCUGGGUUCUGCUCAUUCAGUCUUCCAGGUCUUCAUUUCCCGCAUCUCGUCGUUCUCCAGAGGGAGCGCUAGCCGGACAUCGUGA